rnacentral:misc_RNA from 1 species
AAAGUGCGAUAACUCAGGUGAACCGCAACUGGCGCGACUCCUUGAAUUUUUGAACGCAAAGUGUGCCCCGGUGUAACAGCCGGGGCGUGUUUGCAUGAGCGUUUUAUACAAAAUAUCACUACCUUCGUGUACGUGGACGUGGGCUCUGCGGUUAGUUCCGCACUGCCUUAAAUACAUUGGCGGAUCGUACGGCGUUGCCCACAUCGAUCCCCGUCGUCAAGUUAAGGUCUUGAAUGUGGCCGAGGCGGGCGGUGGGGUCUUUCGUGAUUGUCGGCGGUCUGGGCGUCGGAGCCCUACGUCAGAACCCUUCGGGGGAUGUUUACUCAACUUCUGAACCUCAUGUCAAGCACGGCUACCCGCUGAAUUUAA